AUGUCAUCUGCAGAGUCUUCUGGAAUGGAACUUGGAACUCACCACGUGAGAAGAGAUCCCGAAGUGAUGAGGCAGCAUAUUUCCUAUGCUCGAUGUCAGGAUUUGUUCUGUGAAACUGACCUUCACAACGCCCUGAAAAUGAGGAACAUGGUACCAGAGAACAGAGCAGGAAGCAUGAAAUGGUUUAGCAUUGUUAGAGCGUCAGGAUUAAGAAACAGCCAAAAACUUACUUAAAUAUGCCACAAAGUGGAGAUUCAAAUGACUGGUUCACUGAAUGUCAUGUGGGGUGGUUGCACACUAUGUAUAGAGAGUUAGGUGCAUCAAAAGAGCAGAACCUGACUGCACAAGGACCUUCUUGAACCACCCAGCAGAGACGAUGAGCCUGGAAAAGGGAUUCGCACAGGUAAGCUGCAGCAGACAAGAACUGUGACCAUUAAAAAAAAAAACAAUGAGAAUAUAUGAAAUGUUGAGCGGAGAUUGACCUGUCUCCUUUUGUACCUUCUUUGCACUUGUUCUGGGGAGAGUGCAACCUGUUGUUCAUUCUUGGAAUACGGGCAGUGGACAGGAUUGUUGCAAGCUGAGCCAUGUGGGAGGAGUUGAGAGACUGAUGAUGAAGGGGUGGCAGAACAGGACUGGGGACCUACCAGAAGCUCUUAUCACAGCAAGCACAAGCAAGAACCAUCUCUUCUUGUAGAGGCAUAGUCAUGGGGUUUUCUUUAAGGGGAUUCUACUGUAACACGAAUACUAAGAAUGCUCUGGAUCUCAGAGCAGCAGAGUUUCAGGAUUCUCCCAGCUAGAAAGGCACUGGCUCAUGCUACUAGGGAAGAAAUGAGGUUGUAUCAGCUCCAGAUCUGUUCCAGGUGUUGUGAUUUUUUGAGAACAGUGUCAGGAUCCCCACAGAGGAAGAAUACAUUACUCUAAGGAGAUUUCCUCACUGAGAUACAGAAUAUCUUGUCAUCACAGCUGCACCUGAAAUUGGAUAAUUCUCCCUUUGUCUCCAGGCUACUUGUGUAUGCACUGAGUAUCCUUGACUUAAAUAAAAUCCCACCCAGGGAUGGCA
rnacentral:lncRNA from 1 species